UGCUUGAAGAAACUUCUUAACAGAGCUAUCAGAAGUUGUAGAGUUUAUUUGAUAAAGAUUAUAAUUUGCAGAAUUGAACAACACCAGAAGAAAACAUUCACAAUUGGGUGGUCAAGGAAGGCUUCCUGUGAGUGGGCGCUGGAGUUGGACUUCAAAGCAGAGAUGAAGGAAAUUAAUCUAGAAGCAAAGAGAAAUCUUUGGAACCCAGCCCUGAACUAACUGAGAGGAAUUGCUGCAUUUGGAUGUAAACAUGGAAUCAGCAGUCAUAAUUCAUGUAAAAGCACACAGCAUUGACUUUGACUUGGCUACAAAGACCUGAAAAUCUACAGCAUUACCCAGGCCAAACAUAGAAAUGAUGAAGAUUUUUUCACCCUUUUCACUGGAAUAAUGCACUUUGGCACCUCCUUCAAACCUAAAGGAUAAACAUGUCUUAAUGCAGCUCUUGGAAGAGGCUAUAAUACUAACCAUACUUCCCCUUUGAUCAAGCUGUUCAUCUUCAUGAUUUAUACCAAGCAAGAUUAGCAUGUCAUAUGAGCUUAUGUACUGCAUAGUGUGAUAGAAAAGUGGGCAGUGGGAAACAUCAUCACUUAAACAUACAUGGGAUUUGAAAACUUCUCCCUAUCAUAUAAACAGAAUCCUCAAUUCAAUAUUAAUUUGAAACAAUGAAUGCUAAGAGACACAUAGUUUGAUUCUAAAGAAACUCAAGUUGAAAAAUUACCCAUGCAAUGUUUUGUCAAUAAAAAGCUAGAUAAAAAAAAGCAAGUAUCAAAAAAACCCUCAAAGAAUCUUCCUACAUGCUCAUAGCAGAGAAAUGAGACCAUUUGACAAUUUUUAGAAACAUCACUCUCUCAGAGAAAAAAUAAUUUAAUGUUUUUACAUAAUCCCCAGAUUUACCCAUUUUAUGCUUGUACCUAGUCAUUUUGCAAAAGGAAUUCAUAGGGCCAUAGAACUAUAGAUUUAGGGCUGGAAAUUUUGUUCAGUCAUUUUUUCAGUCACAUCCAACUGCCCAGAGUCACAUGGCUUAGAAGUAGCCGAAGUUGGAUUUGAACUCAGGCUCCAAGUCCUAUCCACUUUGCCAUUCAUCUGCCUUUAGAUAAGAUAAUGGAAAUUUGUAGUGGAUCUGAUUAGUGAUUGUGAAAGUUCCUCUGGGCAUGGUCAGCAGUAUAAAUCUAGGAAGAAAUUAGGCAGAAGGUGGAGGCAAUAGGACAAGGAGAUAAGAAAGUAAAGAGGAUGUUGUGAAGGAGCCAAGGGAAAUCAUUUCUUUGGGGGAAGAGAUGGAGUGCAGGUGGAUGGGAGGCCAAGGUGAAGAGCAACAAUACAUGAGGAGAUGGAAGAAUAGAGAGGGGAAUUUAGAGUUCUGGAUCACAGGGGUAGAAUAUUCAUGAUGAGAGCCAAGGGGAUGACCAUUACUGUGGGUGGCUAAGGGGAGUCAAAGUUCAGAUCAUGAGAGCUGACCAUUAAUAUCGGGCAAAGCAGAAAACAGGGAGAUAUCUGCUCCUAAAAAGUCUUCAUUGCCCACAUGAAAGAUGUCAGCACAGAGAACAAAUGGAAAAAUGAUUCCCUAAAGGCGGGAAGGUCUUCCAGCUGCUCCUGUUUGUGGAUAGCAUUGUGCUGAUUUCAUCAAAUAUUGGAACAUUGCAGAGCCUCCUAAAUGAGAUCAUAAAAGUCAUCAUUGUUCUAAAUGCAACCCAUGGCUCAGAUCCCCUCCCUGUACUCCUCUUGCAAAGAAUUGGGACCCAAAUGGGCCAGGUCUUGUACUGGCAGUGGACUCUUUCCUCUCUUGGCUGGUUGCUGCUAUCCACAGUUUUUUCCCAGGAAAAUCUUUGAAUAAAACUCUUGUCUAGUUAGUUAUUUUCUCAUUUCUCUAGUUACUUUGCAUUCUACUUAAGCUUGAUGUAUACUCCUGAUAGAAUAUAUGCUCCAGGAGAACAGGACCAAUGUAAUUUUGGCACUGUGUCCUCAGAAUUUAGCAUGGUAACUUGCAUGUAGAAAGUUCAUUUUUAUUGUAGAGAAACAGAAAUUGGAGAAAAUAUCUAUAGGUGAUUGUAUAUCAGGACUGAGAGAAAGAAUUCUCUCAUUGGGAGGAGAGAGACAAAGACAGGGAGAGAGGGAAAGUGGGAGGGAAUGGAGGGGGAGAUGGAGAGAAGGACAGACAGAGAUAGGGAGAGGCUGAGACAGGAACAGAGAGAGAGACAGAGACAUAGAAAAACUGAGAAAAAGAGACAAUUUGGAGAAUUCUUCUGUGUUAUCACAAUAGGAAAUGAAGAAAAAGAACCUUAAACAUAAAAUUGGUCCCGCCUGAACUUUUACUUUUGGCUUGCUUUUCAUUCUUCAAUAAGAUAAUGACAAUAACUGCCAACAUGUGGAACCUAUUGUGUUGCAAGUGGCAGGAUUACUUUGGAGAAUUUGAAUUUUACAGGAACAUGAAGCCACUGUACUAAAAGUAUGUCUGAGUUACACACCUGCCAGCAAUUAAGUCCCUCAAGUUUGAUUUUAUCAGUUCUCAUGUGAUUUGUGCUAAUUAUUACAGGCAACUACUUUGGGUAUAAACUUAUUUGAUUUUUUUAAAAAAAGUUUUAUUUAUGUAUUUUUUAUUUUCCAUCAUAGUCAUUUCCUAAUAUGCCACCUCAUUGAAAUUUUGCCUCAUAUCAAACAAAAGAGUUAAAAUCAAGCCAAAAGGCAAUUGAAUCUGACAGUGUCUCAUUUCACACCUAUAGAUCUCUCUAAGAAAGGGCUAGAAAUAUAUUCACCAUUUGUUCUUGGAUAUCAAGAUUUUUAGUUGUAAUGAAUGUGAAUUUGGCUAUUAUAAUUGUUUUUAUUUACAUUAUUAUUGUAGUCAUUGUGUAUUGUUGUCCUGGGUCUGCUUUCUUUGCUGUGUCAGUUCAUAUAAAUCUUCUCAUGUUUCUCUGAA